ACUACUCAUGAUGACAUGCACAAGUCAGACGAGGAUUUUAUCUAAUUAUGUCUUCCACUAUUUUAACAAAUUUCAUAGCCCUCAAGUAUGAAAUUGAGAAACCUUAUCAUAAAGUUUCUUAGUGAGGUUGAGACUCCAAUUCCUCUUAAGAAGCCUUGUGGAUAGCACAAUAAGCUUCUAUAAGUUCAAAGGUAAGUAACUCUUUACUAAUUACAUCUCAUACAACUCUCAACAUAACUUUUGUCUCUAAAAUACUUAUAGCCUUAUGGAUAGAACAACAAACUAUAGUAUUUUAGUUAAGUCAUACCCUUCAAUUCUAUAUAGUCAUACC
rnacentral:lncRNA from 1 species